AUGGACCGCGCGUCCACUGCGGUUGUGAGCGCGCCGUCCGCGUCCACCUGAGAGCGGCUCGCUACGUGUUGUUAGCC
rnacentral:sRNA from 3 species